UACGUAGGGCGCAAGCGUUGUCCGGAAUUAUUGGGCGUAAAGAGCUCGUAGGCGGUCUGUCGCGUCGGAUGUGAAAGCUCGAGGCUUAACCUCGGGUCUGCAUCCGAUACGGGCAGACUAGAGGCAGGUAGGGGAGAACGGAAUUCCCGGUGUAGCGGUGAAAUGCGCAGAUAUCAGGAGGAACACCGGUGGCGAAGGCGGGAUCCUGGGCCAGUACUGACGCUGAGGAGCGAAAGCGUGGGGAGCAAACAGG
rnacentral:rRNA from 1 species